GACGAACGCUGGCGGCGUGCUUAACACAUGCAAGUCGAACGGUGAAGCUCCAGCUUGCUGGUGUGGAUCAGUGGCGAACGGGUGAGUAACACGUGAGCAACCUGCCCCUGACUCUGGAAUAAGCGCUGGAAACGGCGUCUAAUACUGGAUACGAGAAGGGCCCGCAUGGGCACUUUCUGGAAAGUUUUUCGGUUGGGGAUGGGCUCGCGGCCUAUCAGCUUGCUGGUGAGGUAAUGGCUCACCAAGGCGACGACGGGUAGCCGGCCUGAGAGGGCGACCGGCCACACUGGGACUGAGACACGGCCCAGACUCCUACGGGAGGCAGCAGUGGGGAAUAUUGCACAAUGGGCGAAAGCCUGAUGCAGCGACGCCGCGUGAGGGAUGACGGCCUUCGGGUUGUAAACCUCUUUCAGCAGGGAAGAAGCGAAAGUGACGGUACCUGCAGAAGAAGCACCGGCUAACUACGUG
rnacentral:rRNA from 1 species